rnacentral:rRNA from 1 species
GUACUUGUACCGACUGGAUGAGCAGCGAACGGGUGAGUAACGCGUGGGGAAUCUGCCUUUGAGCGGGGGACAACAUUUGGAAACGAAUGCUAAUACCGCAUAAAAACUUUAAACACAAGUUUUAAGUUUGAAAGAUGCAAUUGCAUCACUCAAAGAUGAUCCCGCGUUGUAUUAGCUAGUUGGUGAGGUAAAGGCUCACCAAGGCGAUGAUACAUAGCCGACCUGAGAGGGUGAUCGGCCACAUUGGGACUGAGACACGGCCCAAACUCCUACGGGAGGCAGCAGUAGGGAAUCUUCGGCAAUGGACGAAAGUCUGACCGAGCAACGCCGCGUGAGUGAAGAAGGUUUUCGGAUCGUAAAACUCUGUUGGUAGAGAAGAACGUUGGUGAGAGUGGAAAGCUCAUCAAGUGACGGUAACUACCCAGAAAGGGACGGCUAACUACGUGCCAGCAGCCGCGGUAAUACGUAGGUCCCGAGCGUUGUCCGGAUUUAUUGGGCGUAAAGCGAGCGCAGGUGGUUUAUUAAGUCUGGUGUAAAAGGCAGUGGCUCAACCAUUGUAUGCAUUGGAAACUGGUAGACUUGAGUGCAGGAGAGGA